rnacentral:rRNA from 1 species
GACGAACGCUGGCGGCGUGCUUAACACAUGCAAGUCGAACGGAAAGGCCCUGCUUUUGUGGGGUGCUCGAGUGGCGAACGGGUGAGUAACAAGUGAGUAACCUGCCCUUGACUUUGGGAUAACUUCAGGAAACUGGGGCUAAUACCGGAUAGGAGCUCCUGCUGCAUGGUGGGGGUUGGAAAGGUUCGGCGGUUGGGGAUGGACUCGCGGCUUAUCAGCUUGUUGGUGGGGUAGUGGCUUACCAAGGCUUUGACGGGUAGCCGGCCUGAGAGGGUGACCGGCCACAUUGGGACUGAGAUACGGCCCAGACUCCUACGGGAGGCAGCAGUGGGGAAUAUUGCACAGUGGGCGGAAGCCUGAUGCAGCAACGCCGCGUGCGGGAUGACGGCCUUCGGGUUGUAAACCGCUUUCGCCUGUGACGAAGCGUGAGUGACGGUAAUGGGUAAAGAAGCACCGGCUAACUACGUG